rnacentral:lncRNA from 1 species
UUCAGACAGAAGUACAAGCGAACAGAUGACACAUUAAAGUGGCUGCAGAAGCUUGAAAAGUAAGAUAGAGCAGGGACAGUCAAAACUGUGGGAUAAUACUUCUAUGGUGUCCAACAUGUCUAGUCAGGUUGACAGAAGUGAAAGAUGGUCUAAUGGUACAAUGAUGUACAAAUGAUACUCUUUAACAAGUUUAACAUGUCAAAGUGUAAAAUGUUCUGUGGAUUCAUAUGAUGAGAAUGCCAAUGUUGAUCUGUAUGACUUAAUUAAACACAGAUAUUGAUACAUUCAGAUAUAUACCUGUGAAAUCUUCAGUGUCACCGUUCAGCUAUUGUUCAAGAUAGUGUCUGUAGCUUGCACAGUUUAGUAUAGAGGAGCCUUUUACAUAUUUGCUAAUAUUGUAGGACGCACAUGUAGAGAGCAACAAGUCCUGUCCAACUGUGCAUGUAAAUGUGAUUCAGAAACUUUGAGAAUAUGUAAACAUUACACUGUUAUAAUUUUCAAAAUACUGUGUCUUGUAGUGUAUCAGUACUGUUUUGUCUCAGUUUAUAGCACAGUAUGUUCACA